CGGGAGUCGCCACCAAUCUUUUUAGGUGUGAUUGGAUCACCUUUAAAACAUUUUGUUUUAAAAUCAUUAGUUUUGGUCCACGAAAUAAAAGAAUGGGUUCAGGAGUCGGUUACGUACGAGGAAGGAUUAGCACCCUCGUAACGCCCAAAAAUUGGUACCUAAUUGAUUAUCAAAUGUCUUUAAUGUCGGAAAUUUAAAAAAUUUUAAGAUAUAAUCCUCUUUAAAAUACUUUGAUGUUGAAAAUUUGGGUUCACUCGUAUCAAAACAUUGACACUAAGUUAACCUUUUGGAAAUCCCUAUCUCGAAACGACAAAUCGCCACAUCUAAUAAGUUAGGACACAACGCUUUGAAAUUCCAAGACAGUUGCUCGUAUUUUGAAAAUCUUAAAAAACUUAGAAGGGUACUUGACUAUUCGAACUCAACGAGAAAAGUUGCAACCCAAUAAGUUAGGGCACUACUUUUCUCGAAGCUUUCAAAUACUAAGCAUUGCCUUUUUUAUUUUUAUAAAACUUUUAAAUAUUGUUUUAAAUGACCUUUUAGAGUGACAAUUCUAUAUUAUGAAACAUAGAUAUUCAAAUAGCGUAUAUUAUAAAGUAUUAUAACACUUUAUAUAAAUGCAAUCACUAUAUAGAGGGUAAAAUAGAAUAAUAAAAAUAAUCAUGCUAAGCAAAUAGAAAUAUACCAAAAAGAAAACAUAAUAAAUGCACUAAUUAUAUACAAUAUAUCAUAAAUAAAACAUUAAAUAAUAUAAAAAAUAUGGUAAAUAUUAAUGUGUAAAAUAUGUAUGAGUAAAAAUAGAUGACAUGCAUAGCAAAUGGAUAAAUAGAAUCUACAUAAAAUAUAAAAUCCAAUAAUUUAAUGUACACAUGAAUGGAUUAAUAAAUAAAAUGAUGCAUAUAAUACAAUAUAUCAAUGUACAUAUAUAAAAAAAUACAUUUGAAAGUAAAUUAUAAAAGUCUAAGAUAUUACAUAACAUAUGAAAUACAUAACAUAACAAUAAUACAUUAAUGCUAAAGUAAAAACAAAUAUUGUAUAAUAAUAAAAAACAUAAGUUUUAAAAAUAUAUGUAUAAUAUAAACAAUUGAUAAAUAGAAUGAGCAUAUAAAAAAAUGUGAUAUUUAAUAAUAAAUUUAAAAUAUAAUAUAUAAUAAAAAAUAUAUUUAUAAGAAUAAUCAUUAUAUAAAAAAUAUAAAAUAUAUUGGUUUAGAAAAAUAAUGUAUAAAAUAUCAAAUAUGUAAAAUAAUUUAUAUUUAUAAUGAAAUGAUUAUAUAAUAUAUAUACAUGCAUAGAAAAUAUAUAUUUGAAAAUAAACUAUGUAUAAAGGUUAAAUAUUAUCAUAUAUAAAAUACAUAAUCAAAUGUAUAAAAGAUAGGAAAAAAUAUACAUAUUUGAAAAAUGAAGAAAUUAAAAAUAAAAAGAGUUGAAAAACUAAUAUAGACAAAGAAUAAAAUAAGAAAAAACCACAGAGAGUAAGAAUGCAAGAGGGAGAGAAAUUUGAGUGAAUGCUCUUCAAGAAUUCUUAUUGCUUCUCAAAACUCAAGUCCUUUACAAUGAAGGGAGAGGCCUCUAUUUAUAGUUGAGCCUCCCUAAAUCCAACGGUACAGAUCAAUUACAUCAACGGUUAAGAUUAAAGGAUAUCUACAAAUUAAAUCUCCAAGAUUACAAAAUCAUAUCUUCUAAGAUUGUAUAUCAUAUCUAAGAUUGCAAUCAUAUCUAAGAUUGUAUCAUAUCUAAGAUUGCAAUCAUAUCUAAGGUUGCAAUCAUAUCUAAGAUUGCAAUCAUAUUUAAGAUUGUAUCAUAUCUAAGAUUACAUAUCAUUGAAGAUUAUAUUUCCAUAUGAGUCAAGCUUGUAGAUGGACCUUAAAUCUUUUCAAGUAAUGGGCCAUUCCGAUUGGGCCAAAUUAUAUUUGUAAUUCUGGACUGAACUUGGACUUCGUUUUUUUUGGGGGGGUUUAUUAUUUUAAAUACUGAAAUGGGCCGGGCAAAAUUGAGUGUCUACAGCUGCCCCUCUUUGCUCAUUGCUGUGUAAUAGGAAUUGAGUAAAGACCAUAAAGGACCAAAUUUGCCCGGCCUAGCCCAAUCUUUGCGAUCUUUUCCUCGAAUGGUCUUCUACCUUCUCCCUACGACCUCAAGAAUGCUAUGUUGAUAUCUUUGAUCUGUUUUCUGCCGAACACAGAGACACUGAGUCUGCUUCUUCGAUUUGUAAGGAUGUCAAAUCAUCUUGAGUCUGUUUGAGAACAUUUGAGAAUCAUAUCUGCAAGGUCCUCGACUUGUUCCUUGUAAGCACAAGGAUGCCUAAACCAUCUUGAGUCUGUUUGAGAACAUUUGAGAGUCAUGUCUGCAAGGUCCUCGAUUUGUUCCUUGUAACCACAAGGAUGCCAAACCAUCUUGAGUCUGUUUGAGAACAUUUGAGAGUCAUAUCUGCAAUGUCCUCGAUUUGUUCCUUGUAAGCACAAGGAUGCCAAACCAUCUUGAGUCUGUUUGAGAACAUUUGAGAGUCAUAUCUGCAAUGUCCUCGAUUUGUUCCUUGUAAGCACAAGGAUGCCAAACCAUCUUGGAUCUGCUUCAGUAUAAACAUCUGAAGGUUAGAUCUGCUAUAUUUGAGAACGUCUGAGAGUCAAAUCUGCUAUGUCCUCGAUUUGUUUCUUGUAAACACAAGAAUACCAAACCAUCUUGGAUCUGCUUCAGUAUAAACAUCUGAAGGUUAGAUCUGUUAUAUUUGAGAACGUCUGAGAGUCAAAUCUACUAUGUUCUCGAUUUGUUCCUUGUAAACACAAGAAUACCAAAUCAUCUUGGAUUUGCUUCAGUAUAAACAUCUGAAGGUUAGAUCUGCUAUAUUUGAGAACGUCUGAAAGUCAAAUCUGCUAUGUCCUCGAUUUGUUCCUUGUAAACACAAGAAUGCAAAAUCAUCUUGGAUCUGCUUCAGUAUAAACAUCUGAAGGUUAGAUCUGCUAUCUUUGAGAACGUCUGAGAGUCAAAUCUACUAUGUCCUCGAUUUGUUCAUUGUAAACACAGGAAUGCCAAAUUAUCUUGGAUCUACUUCAGUAUAAACAUCUGAAGGUUAGAUCUGCUAUCUUUGAGAAUGUCUGAGAGUCAAAUCUACUAUGUCCUCGAUUUGUUCCUUGUAAACACAAGAAUCCCAAAUCAUCUUGGAUCUGCUUCAGUAUAAACAUCUGAAGGUUAGAUCUGCUAUCUUCGAUCUGUUCCCUAUAAACACAGGGAUGCCAAAUCUGCUAUCUUCAACUUGUUCCCUAUAAACACAGGGAUGCCAUGCUGAAAUCUUCAAUCUGCUUCGCUGUAAGCAUAGGAAUGUUAGAUCUACUAUCUUUGAUCUGUUCCCUAUAAACAUAGGGAUGCCAAAUCUUGUUUCUUUGAUCUACAUUGUCCCAUAACCUGUAGAAUGCGUAUGAGUUCAUGCCUAUGAUCGAAGUGAGUCAAAUUCUCCUAAUUAGACAUGUUAUAAUGCAAAAUGUUAUGAAUAUGACCCUUAUUUCGGGCGUCAUCACUCAUUCCCUCAUCGAAGUUUUAACUUUAUACUUCUUGAUGUAUCAAUCAUACUCUGCUUGUAUGCUUUGAAUCAACUUAGUCCUAUUGUGCCAUUCUCCAAAUGUUGUGACCCGCUGGAGAUGUUUAUGAAAUGAUCAUUUCUUAAGAUCAAUUUAAAAUGUCCCACCCCCUUUUGGACUGAAGAAGAAAUUUCCCCGAGUAUAUCCGACUCUCAAAUAUGGAAAUUCUUUAAACAAUUGUCUUGUUUCAGUUUCUUGUAUUAUCUAGAAAUUUCCAGAGUAAUAUGAAAAACUUCGUUUGUAAAGAUAUUUAGUUCAUCAAUCAUUAUUUCUAUGCAACACACUUUAUGAAUAAUGGGACGAAUAAAUUGAUCUUGAGGAUAAUGAUUUAUCAAAAAGACAAAGGAGGUUAAUCUAGGAAUUUAUCUUUGAGAAGAAAGAGAAUCCAAAGAUAGUAAACAGGACAAAAAAUCAGAUGCCCCAGAUAUCGCCGCUUGAGCGUCUAUACACAAGCUCUAUGAAGACUUUCUUGAGUUCAACAUGUGUUUAAAAGAUCCAAAGUAAUUCGUUGAUGCCUCGAUAUGUAACAUACUUCACUUCUCGUCGAAUCCGAUAUAGCAAGGUCACUGCAUGACUUUCCAAAUUUGAGCUGCCCUUUCGGGUUUUCAACUCAAAACCCCUUUGGUCUCAAGGCGCCCUUUGCGGGUUUUCACCUUGGCCUCUCCAUUUUUUCUUUUUCUCUUUAUUUUUCUCUUUUUAUUUUCUUUUUAUUUUCUUUUAUUUUCUUUUUUUUUUGAAAUAGAAGUCCCAAAGUGCCUUUUGCGGGUUUUCACCUUGGCUUCCCUUCUCCUUCAGACAAAGUACUCUUUGACUGAGUCCGAAUUCACUGGAUCAGAUAAAUUCUUCCUAUCCAUUUCUUGUCAAAAUCAAUGCACCUCUAGAGAAAGCCCUCUUCGUAACAUAUGGCCCUUCCCAAUUCGGAACCCUUUUGCAAGGUUUCCUUUAUGAGAUUCUUUUGGACGAACCUUCUUUGUCAUAAGUCUAUGUCAUCCAUUCUUGGUACAUUUGCUUAGGAUGAAUACUUUCAAGUUAAGUUUACUAGAGGUAUUCAAUUCUUGACUCCAUCAAAGCUUGGAGGAAAAAUCUUGAUUCAUAAACCCAUGAGAAAGGGAUUACCCCAGCAGCCGUCCUGGCUGUUGUUUGUCAAACCCUACAAAAAGAUGGUUCGAUGAUUCUCAGCAAACAAGAAUGAAAUUGCUGACUUUAUCCUUCAACCUGGAAAGCUGAGGUACAGAGAUUACUCCUGGAGCAUACAUCCCACCAUGACUCGAUGAUGUUUCUGAAGCAUCCCUAAUCUUCAUAAAUUGCCCCCAACUGUGAAGUUGCCAAAUGAGCGUAGCAAAUAAGAGGCACAAAAAAUAUGGAUGUAGUGCUCCUUUGAUACAUGUAGGAUAGAGGAUGAACAAACUCUUGCAGAUCAUCAGCCGAAAACCCAGCCUGGUCUAAGAGAACAUGAUAGUAGGUCUGCCUCGUGAUUCCAAUCAUUCCAGCAUGGGUACCAAGGUAAAAAUCAUUGUUCUUUGGAUGGCAUACUUUGUUUUCAAUGACAGUACCAUGUAGCACAUUGUCAGGAGAUCCCUGCUGAAAACAAAACUUGGUAUGAUGGUUUUUCAUACAAUAAUAACCACAAUCUUUAAGGUUCCACUUCUCGCCAAGGAACUUGCAAGCCUCAAUAACUUGAUCAAAACUUGAUUGAAUUGAGACUCGCUAACCCUCUCCCUGAAAAUAAUGAUUUGAUCAGGUUUCUUCUUCUCUGAACUUGUAUAGAAGUCUAAGAGAGCUUCCUUCAUGAUACCGUCAUCAACUUUGUCAGAAACUAGUUUUGAAGAAAGAAUCUAUCAUUUUAAGCUUCAGAGACUGUGUAUGGCCUGAUGCCCCAUAGCUGAAAAUCAAUGGCCACCGCCUAGAGCUAACCAUCGCAGCUAUUAACGGCACAUCAGACUGCUCAGGAAAGCCAAACAAUGCACCCAUUCCAAGGAUGAUAGUUGGAACCUUUGAAACAACUGGAAUUGAAGGUGUUUGCCCCAGCGUAAGCAUUGAGAGUAGGCGGUAGUUUCUUAUGCCAAUUUUUACCAGUCUCGGUCAUCUUUUGUAAUUUGUUUUUUUUUCUUCUUUUUCUUUUCUUUUGGCAACCUUUGUUGUACUGUGGUAUGGUGCAUUAUCUUUGAAAAGACUGCAAACUUUUGGCAUUGUGCAGUUAUAUAUAAUCUUUUUUUUUUGAAAUAGAUGACUUUUGACUUUGUAAUAUUGGCAUAUGAAGCUAUCUCCCCCUCUUAAUGGAGUAGUUGACGUCUACAAAGAUGAGUCAUUGUCAGCUUGAAACUUUUGAUGAGCUCGGGCCCAUAACAUACAUGCCCCAUAAGUCUUUACUCCUUUAAAUUUGGCAUUCAUUGUACAACUGAUGCGAUCCCUUUCCAUGGUGGACCAACAGUGCCCCAAAACCUCAUGUUUAUCCUGGCAAUUGCAAAUCCUCCUGCAUGCGUCUUUGGACCAUAUUUUUGAAUUCCCAUAAUAGUCUCAACAAGGUCUUGUUUUGUCUCCUCAGCUAAUUCCAAUUUCGCAAUCUUUCCUUCCUCUAAGGUUAUAUUUCUUACCACCACUUCAUGGGGUAAAAACCAUUUUCAACAAAUUCAGAAACAAGUCACAAUGUCUGUCACCUUCAAAGUACUGAGAUUCCUCUAAACACAUAUCGUACUCAAAAAGAACUCUGAAUCUGUAGUAUCGUUGCCCGUGUCAUUGAUAUCUAGGGAUCUAUGAUAGGCACACAAAAGAAUAUAAAAGGAAAAAAUGAAUUCAAAAAUGACUAUUUACAUGAAAUGAAAAUUUAUAAAGAAUGUCAAAGGUUAAAAGAAUUAGAAUGAAAGAAUAUUUACUCGGAUAAAUAAUAAAAGUAUGUUUUAUUGAAAAUAAAAAUGUCUGAACAUGAGCCCACUUCUCAAAAGAAAUCUCAUUACUCCUAGGCUUUAGAGCAACAAGAGUGUUCUGAAUAUUACUCCGUAAAAUUCCUAAAGAUUACAGGAAGUUCUUCUGCAGUCCAAUUGUUUAAAGAACUUCCCGGUUUGUAAGGGCGAAUGCCCUCAAGGUUUCUUUGUUCAGUCCCUUCCUCAUGUAUGACAUUGAUGGGAUUAUUUUCAUUUCCAAACACCCCCUUCUCCGGGUAAGCUAUUCCUCUUGACACAAAAGUCAGGGAUAUGUAAGGGAACGUCUCUUUUUCACUUAGCCAUGACCCUCUUCUCUCUCUCUCUCUCUCUUUUUCUUUCUUUUUUAAUAACUUUAACUAAUUAUGGUCUUUUUAUAAUUUAAAUGCAUAUAAUGUGAUGUGAUGUAAUACAAAUUCAUGAAUGCAAAAAGGUAUCGAUCUCGACUUAAUUUCAUUUGGAAAAUUUUAUUUAGAAAAAGAAUAUCUUUACAUAUGAAUGGAUUACAAAUACGCCUUCGUCCCAUGGCCUAAAGUUUUAACUCAACAAAGCUAACUCUUGACAAUGAUCUGACUGUGCUCAAUGUAUCAGCUUGUACCUUCAUGGUCCUUAAAUGAUCUACUACCAUCCCGAAUUUGAGCUAUGGCUUCACCCAUAAGAUAAUCCCUACAUCUAUGGACACCUCUUCCAAUGUCUGUGAAGUUGUUCUGAUUAUCUUGAAAGAAAGAUUGGCAAACAAGUGGGCAUUCCUACUUAACAUGCUACCUUAAAAUGAUAUCCAACACCUUUAGGGUUUCUUGAGAGCUUUCAGAUUCCUAUCCACACAAAGCAUUUUGAAAUGAUUAGAAGGGUAUAUUCUCAGUAUAGUUAAUCUCUACUUUAGAGGUCUUUUAAAUAAUAUGGACUUCUUUAAUCUCAUUCUUUUGCAUCCAUUUUGACAGAUCAUCAGGGCUUGCAUUUCCAUUAUCUCUGAUAAGUGCAACAUAGUGAACUCAUGCUUGUUGUUUGGUCCUAUAAUAAAUAAGCCUUUUACCAUCAUAGGCACAAUUCUUUCCAUCCAACUCACCUUUGUAGGUCUAUGCAUUCUGUCAAUCACUUUUCUUCCAACACUCUUACCAUCGACCAUCUUCCUAUGAAAGAGAAAUGUUGUAAUGGUGGAAAUGUCCAUCAAUACUCUUCUUGUUCACCUUAAAAUGAUUGGUGAGUACAUUACCUUUUGCCCUGCAGCACGUCUUGCCAUAGAGUGUCGAACAAUCUUCUUCGUAUCCAAUUCUGCUUUGAUUGGAAACAACAUUAAGACGCACUAGUGGCGGAAGAGGCAGGAAUUCCAAGACUACCCCUUUUCCCUCCUAUUCUUUCCAUUUUAGCUCACUCCCUCUCCCUAUGACAUUCAUCAACUUCGUCACAAAAGUUGGAAUACAGUUAGCCCUUGAGUAAACUUUAUCAACUUGAAUCAUAGGACAACGCCCCAAAAUUGAAUAUUCCUCCACCACGGGUACCAUAUAGGCUUUUCCAAACGUAAAGCAACUGUAUACAAGAUUCCAAUACUGAGUGAUGGCCCGAAACAAAUUCUCGUCUAUUCCCAAAUCAAGCAAGUACUGCAAGUCCCCAUGGUUGUUGUAGAACAACUGCUUGGCUUCGCUACCCCAUUGAUCCCAUAUUUCCUUUAACUCAUGCUGAUUAUCCUGUGUGAUACGAAUGUAGUCUGACAGCUCUGACACAUAUCCCAUGGCUAGACUAUUUUCCUUUACUAACUGAGUUUGCUCUGACCAUAUAUGGACGUUAGCGUUGUCUUCCACUCUAUCAAGAAGUCCGUUCUCCAUAAUAAAACUCUCUAACUUAGAAACUGACCGAAAAUCAAUACCUUUUAAAUGCGAAAUGAUAUGCAACAAAAGAAAGGAGAUAGUUAGUAUCACAUGAUAACAAUAAACUCAAAGAUAACCUGCAAGGGUAAUAAUUACGGUAUAAUUCUAUCUAGGUUGAGCUCUUACGGUCCUUCUAUAUGUGGUUUAGUUCUAAAGUUAAGGUACCUGAACCAGCAGAUUCCUCGAUCCUCACCCAUUAUAGGCUCAUUUGAAUCGAGUUCAGUUCAGGGGGACACAUUUCCCUAUAGCUACAUGGAGAUGAAAAUCUCAUGAAACCAUAGGUACGGAUGUAUCCCGAAAGUGAUCCACUAUCCUGCACGAAGGCGAAAACCUCACGAAGGCGUAGCUUCUCACUCCCACUUAAGGGUGUGACCACAACGGUCAUGCAAAUGCAAUGCGUAUUAGAAUAUAGCAACACAUGCAAUAACACAAACACAUGUAAUGCAAAGAAGAUUAAAUUUUAAAAUUUUAAUUUCCGACAUUAAGACAAGAGAUAAUCAAUUACACGGCUUGACUCUCUUAUUAGUCCUCAGCGGAGUCGCCAAGCUGUCGAAACCAUUUUCAAAUCGAGUUUUGGAAAAUGGGAAUCGAUUUUAAAAAACGAAAACGGGAGUCACCACCAAUCUUUUUAGGUGUGAUUGGAUCACCUUUAAAACAUUUUGUUUUAAAAUCAUUAGUUUUGGUCCACGAAAUAAAAGAAUGGGUUCGGGAGUCGGUUACGUACGAGGAAGGAUUAGCACCCUCGUAACGCCCAAAAAUUGGUACCUAAUUGAUUAUCAAAUGUCUUUAAUGUCGGAAAUUUAAAAAAUUUUAAGAUAUAAUCCUCUUUAAAAUACUUUGAUUUUGAAAAUUUGGGUUCACUCGUAUCAAAACAUUGACACUAAGUUAACCUUUUGGAAAUCCCUAUCUCGAAACGACAAAUCGCCACAUCCAAUAAGUUAGGACACAACGCUUUGAAAUUCCAAGACAGUUGCUCGUAUUUUGAAAAUCUUAAAAAACUUAGAAGGGUACUUGACUAUUCGAACUCAACGAGAAAAGUUGCAACCCAAUAAGUUAGGGCACUACUUUUCUCGAAGCUUUCAAAUACUAAGCAUUGCCUUUUUUAUUUUUAUAAAACUUUUAAAUAUUGUUUUAAAUGACCUUUUAGAGUGACA
rnacentral:lncRNA from 1 species